UUGCAUAUAAUACCGUAAAUAUGAGUUAGGAAAAGGCUUCAGGGAGAGGACAGCCUCUAAUUUUGCACAAUCUGCCCUUUCUUUGAGGACUUGGGUCACGUGUUUCAAGGUGAGGAAAGUCUGUUCUCAGAAGACAGCAAUGAGCCAUAAUAGAUUGAUUCUACAUGCAGAAACCUGACACACUGACCCAACAACCUUUUGUAAUCAGGAAGUACUGCUAUCAGAAAGGGAAUUGAACUCAGAAGCAGCAGCGGUGUAUGUGUCUAUGCGUGUGUGUGUAAGCGUGUGUGAAUGUAAAUGAGCUUAGCCCUUUUCGUUUCCCAAAUGCCAGACAGGUUUCUCUACAGCAGUGGUUCUCAACCUGUGGGUCCCAAGAUGUUUUUGGCCUACAAGUCCGAGAAAUCCUUGCCAGUUUACCAGCUGUUAGGAUUUCUGAGAGCUGAAGGCCAAAACAUCUGGGGACCAACAGGUUGAGAAACACUGCUCUACAGCCUCCCCUAUGAAGCUCUACACAUGUGGUUGCCUACACUUUGAGCUCCAUAAAAGAACUGCUUGUGGGGCACUUUGAAAAUUGUUUGUUUUUAUAGCAUCUUUAUGCCAGAUUGGUCCAGGUGAUGUAGAAAUGGACAUUUAGGUUCAACUAGGAACCUAAGUGACAAUCCUUGUUAAAUUAUGUGGAACCAGGUGUUAGAUAUAUAUGUAAUGCUACUCUAUUUACAUUACUUUACAUUGCUAGGGAAUACACUUAGUUUGAGUAUAUCAUGGUAAGAUAUGAGGCCGUGGUGGCACUAUGGGUUAAACCCUUGUGCCAGCUGAACUGCUGACCUGAAGGUUGGGGGUUUGAAUCCGCAAGAUGGAGUGAGCUCCUGUCUGUCAGCCCUAGCUUCCCAUGCAGGGACACGAGAGAAGUUUCCCAGCAAGAUGGUAACACACCCAGGUGUCCCUUGGGCAACAUCUUUGUAGAUGGCUGAUUCUCAAACACCAGAAGCAACUUGUCUCAAUUUGCUUCUGGCACUAUUUUAAAAAAAGGUAAGAUACUUCCUAUGAGGUGGAGGGAGGGAAUUACUGCUCUGAAAAGGUAGUAGCAGAGUGAAAACUUUGAAAAGUUAAUUGAUGACCUUUAGGACACCUAAAGAGCUGAAAUACUAUAUUUUUCAGAGAGAGGAAUGCUUUCAUUCACUGUCAGUUUCUAACUUAGAAGUUCCAAGGGGAGAUGCUGAGGUUUUUUUUGUUUUUGUUUUUCCGUGUCAGGAGCAACCGUUAGUUGCAGCACUGGACCUGUAGCUAAGAAUCUCUGGUCUCCUGUAGUUGUUUGAUCUUACCUUUUCGGAGAUUAAGAUCACUUCUGAGGGCCCUUCCAAGCUACACAUUUAUAGCACUAUGACUUCACCUUAACUGACAUGUUGCUCCAUCCUACAGAUUCCAGGCACUGAUAGUUUGGUGAUUCAGUGCUAGAGUAAUACUUAUCAACUUGUGAUCUUCAAAUGGGACAGUCCUGAACUGGUGGCCUUAUUACUAUCCAGAUGUUCAUCAUAAUGAUGACCAAAUCUGUGUGAGCACUUUUGAGGACUCCACAGAUCACUUGGGUUGGUACUGCAGUGUAUUUCUGCAUUUUCUGUUCACAGCCACAAAUCACACACACACAACCACUUCCUCCUUCUCCUCCUUGCCAACAUGAAAGAACUAAAAACAAGAUGUCAUACAAGAAAUCAAUUAUGAAAUCUCCUGGCUUGUCCAUUUCAUCCCACUCUUUCUCUGACCAACAACUUCCCUCUGCUCCCAACAAUUUCUAUAGCUGUUAUUUUAAUGCUUAAGGAAAUGGAAGGGAGAGGAGUUAAACAUGACCAGCAUGGUUUCUUGUUUUAACUGACAUUAAGGAGCCCCUUGUGCUGAAAGGUCAGUGGUUUGAAUCUGAGAAGCGGGGUGAGCUCCCAUCUGUCAGCUCCAGCUUCCCAUGUGGGGACAUGAGAGAAGCCUCCCACAGGAUGGUAAAACAUCUGGGCAUCCCCUGGGCAACGUUCUUGCAGACAGCCAAUUCUCUCACAACAGAAGCCACUUGCAGUUUCUCCUGACACAGAAAAAAAAACUGACAUUCAGUCAACCAACUUAUGGUGACCCUCCGAAUGCAAGAUCUCCAAAUCACCCUUAAAGAAAUUAGUGUGCCACAACAUUUGCUUGUCCUGACACAUAAGCUGUAUUCAGGAUAAGAGAAUAACAUCAGGAUAGAAUACAGAGAAACAGAAUGUUUUCCAGUUGUCAAAGGGGUCAUGCAAGGCUGCAUUUUAUUACCCAGUUUAACUUGUCUGCUGAACACAUCAUACAUCAAGCAGGAUUAGACUAUGAGUGAAUUGCUAUUCCAAUCAAAAUCUGACAUCCUCCCUUGGCAUCAUAUUUCCACUUUCAAAUGUUAACACACCAAAAUCCACUCUUGGCUCUCCAGCAUAACAUAUAUAUUUAUCUCUAAGGAUACACAUUAAUGUAGAUGAGAGUAAAUCCUUGUUAUAGUGAGAAAAAUAAAACUUGCUGUCGAGCAGGUCUGCACAAGAAGCCCAGCAAGUUGAACACAACCUACCAGUAUCUCAAUCCAAUUUUUGCUGCUUGCCUGAUCCUACCUUUUAAAAAGGAGCAUCUAGCAAGGCAGAUGGCAGGCCAGUUGUCUUGUAGGCUGUCUUUCCUUUCAGGGAGCUAAAAAUCUCCUUUUUCUCUAGCAACUAAGUUAAUUAUUUCUCAUUUCCACUUUGCAAAAGUAUUGGCUUUAGCAGUUGUGUUCCCUGAGUAAAAACUGCUUACUUCUUUCAGGAGAAUGACAGUAAGUCAGCAUCUGGCUGAAGUUUUCAUUUGCCAGAUGUCAACUUUCAAACUUGGAUGCUGUUGUUGCUGCCACUGUUGUCAUGAAGGUCAGAAUCUAGUGGCUAGACUGCAGCUGCUCUGGUGUGGCCUUCAACCAAGUGAAUGGCUAAAAGGGAGACCACAGAGAAGAUCCCCUAUUGGAUCUAUUCUAUUUAAUUCACCAUUCUGCUAUCCAGCAUGACCAGCCACAUCACCAUUUGGGAUCAGUAAUUGUUGACAAUGUCCAUGACUGCUGUAGACCCAUGUCAGUUUUAAAGGUGCUUUCCAAGGUGCUGAAUCAAUUUUGGAGCAAGGUACAAUAUCGUGGACAACACCUUUAAACCCCUAAGCCGAUUCAUUAUCCCACUGAUUUAGAACAUUCUUCUUGUUGUGUGCCUUCAUGUCAUUUCCACCAUAUAUCAAUCCUAAGGCAACCUUAUCAUAGGGAUUUCUUAUCAUAGGGAUCCAGGGAAGUCAUGCUCCCCCUCUAUUCUGCCUUGGUCACGCCACACCUGGAAUACUGUGUCUAAUUCUGGGCACCACAAUUGAAGGGAGAUGUUGACAAGCUGAAAAGUGUCCAGAGGAGGGCAACUAAAAUGAUCAAGGGUCUGGAGAACAUGCCCUAUGAGGAGUGGCUUAAAGAACUGGGCAUGUUUAGCCUGCAGAAGAGAAGGCUGAGAGGAGACAUGAUAGCCAUGUACAAAUACGUGAAGUCAUAGGGAGGAGGGAGGAAGCUUGUUUUCUGCUGCCCUGAAGACUAGGACGCGGAACAAUGUCUUCAAACUACAGGAAAGGAGAUUCCACCUGAACAUCAGGAAGAACUUCCUCACUGUGAGGGCUGUUCGGCAGUGGAACUCUCUGCCCCAGACUGUGGUGGAGGCUCCUUCUUUGGAGGCUUUUAAGCAGAGGCUGGAUGACCAUCUGUCGGGGCUGCUUUGAAUGCAAUUUCCUGCUUCUUGGCAGGGGGUUGGACUGGAUGUCCCAUGAGGUCUCUUCCAACUCUACUAUUCUAUGAUUCUAUGAUUCUAUGAUUCUACUCUAGAUGGGAAGCCUACCAUCAGGGCAAGGCAGCUAGUAUGUGUUCCCUAAGUAAUUAAUGUUUAGAUUAGUGGUUCUCAACCUGUGGAUCCCCAGAGGUUUUAGCCUUCAACUCCCAGAAAUCCUAACAGCUGGUAAACUGGCUGGGAUUUCUGGCAGUUGUAGGCCAAAACACCUGGGGACCCUCAGGUUGAGAACCACUGGUUUAGAGCAAUACUGCACCUGUAAGAAGAACAUACAGCCAAUGGAAGCAGAGUCUAUUCUCUUUCGCCAUUGCAUGGGGCAAAAUACGGAAGAGAGCCGCAGGCAUUAUUUCACCCUCCCAAUUAGACACAAGGUCAAGUGCAAGUUAAAACAGGUAAUUUAAUCUCCUUGUCAAGCAAACAAUAUUAAGAUAUAUGUUUAGUAUUUCAGGUAUUGCUGCACAUGAUAUAUUCCACAGUGUGCAGUGCUGUCCUGCUUGUACGUGCUUAGUUGGCUAGCCUUCAAACCAUAAACAUUUAUCCCCCCCACACACACACACACACACAAAAUUAGAAGAAUCUGUAUCAUAUAUGUAUCUGUUACCAGGAAAAAAUGUAAGCUGGUGGAAACGAAAGGGAGUUACCAGAGUGCAUUUCUUUAUUAGAUGGUUAUAUGUGCAGUGACCUUCCCAACCUUGUAUGGGUUCCAGAUCUUGAGGGAGGGGUGCAGACAGAGAUGAGAUAAGCAGCCCUGUAUAAUCCAGCUGUCACCAUUUGCUUUCUCAAAUCAGACUUGCCAAGCAGCUGGGUGUGCCUUACGAAGGAUUUAUGAGAAGCGCCUCAAUAGGGUUGCCUGAUGAGUAUCUUGGGCAUUAUUGUCAGCUUGGUCAAAGGUCGUGGGGUUGGGUAUUUGCUCCAGGCUGAAGGGAACUAACUUCAUUUUGCCUGCAGCCUGAAUAAUUAAUUCCAGGAGAAUGAGAGAAACUGUGAAUUGCCUCUGAUGGAUAUCAAAUUUCACCCAUUAAUUGUAACCGAAUUAAUCUCCAAUGACAACCACACCUUGUUCAGCAUAUAUAAUAGACUGAAAGUACUAUAGAGCCAAUAGGAUGGAGUCAUUCCAUAUUAAAAUAUACAGUAACAAUGUUUACUUUUAACUGCUGUGAUCACCUUUAUUGUGUGGACAAAGAGAUUUUAAAGAUAUGAUUUGAACUAGCUAUUGCAUGUUGAGCAACCUUGAAUAUUUAUAAGGUAAAUGUAAAGGUUUCCCCCUGACAUUAAGUCUAGUCGUGUCCAACUCUGGGGGUUGGUGCUCAUCUCCAUUUCUAAGCCAAAGAGCCGGCGUUGUCCGUAGACACCUCCAAGGUCAUGUGGCCAACAUGACUGCAUGGAGCGCCGUUACCUUCCCGCCGAAGCGGCACCUAUUGACCUACUCACAUUUGCAUGUUUUUGAACUGCUAGGUUGGCAGAAGCUGGGGCUAACAGCGGGAGCUCACCCCACUCCCCUGAUUCAGACAGCAAGUUCAGGAGCUCAGUGGUUUAACCCAAUGCACUACCAGGGGCUCCCUUGAAUACCUAUAGGAGGGAUUACUGAACGAUGGACAAAGCAUGAGGAUGAACGGAUCUGAUUUUAUGUUUGAAACGUAUAUUUUGUAAUUCAUAAUGUAUUUAAAUAGUUUUAACUGUCUUAUGUGCUGUUUUAUAUUGGUUUGUAUGGCCAUCUAAUUGUUGCCACUGUUGUAAGCCGCCCUGAGUCCCUUCGGGUGAGAAGGGCGGGAUAUAAAUGUGAGAAAUAAAAUAAAUAAAUAAAUAAAUUUCUUCUAAAUAAAAGAUAACUCUAUGUAACAAAAUUUGAAAGAAUUCUGUCCCUGGUCUGAAAGUGUUAUUUCCAGUUUAAUUGUGUGGUGAUUACUUUGAAAGUAGUUGUUAUACUCUGGAAAUUUUGGUUUUGCCGCAUCCACAUACUAUGUUGAAUUGGUUGAGACUACAAGAUAUUCAUUAAAAAACGAUAGCAAAAUGUGCUGCAGAGUGUCCCGCAAAAACAAAGUUUUUGCCGUUUAAUAAGCGUUUUCCAUGUUUUUAUGAUAGAACCAAUUAGAAAAUGACAUGUAUAACAAAGGAACAAAAUUGUGUUAAAUAGUAUAACAUGCUUCAUCAUAUCAAACUCAGUAAUGCUACUGUAUGUUAACAUUCAUAAUAAAUCCAUGUUUUUUUCUCCCAUUAAAGCAAAUAAACAAUCUUUCUAGGAGGAGGAGUAGUUGAAAAUUGGGUUGAUCCUUCUGUUAAACAUGUAGAGAAAACACUGUCUCUCCAGUUUCUGUACUCCAACAAAGCACUGCUUUAUUUUUUCAUUGUUUGCACUAAAGAACCAAAAGCCUAGCUAACUACCUGUAUCACAUGUUUACUGAGAAAGCUGGUUGUGAUUCUAAUCAGGAAUUAGUUACUCUUUGUUUUCCUGUAAUCUGUUUUAACAGUGGUUUAAACCAUCUGCAACCACUCUAGGGAAAUAUUUUAGUAGAGGAAUUCCUUUAUUAAGAUGGUGACACUAUUGAUUUUUAUUUUUAAAGAGAAAGAAUUAAAGUCAAUUUUGUAUGGGAA